rnacentral:tRNA from 1 species
GCAGCUGUAGCCUAGAUGGUAAGACGCCGGCCUCGAGAGCCGGUGCGCGUUAGCGCUCGGGGGUUCGAAUCCCUCCAGCUGCG